rnacentral:rRNA from 1 species
CAGCCGCCGCGGUAAUACCGGCGGCCCGAGUGGCGGUCACUAUUAUUGGGCUUAAAGCGUCCGUAGCCGGGUUGGGAAGUCCUCCGGGAAAUCUGGCCGCUUAACGGUCAGAAUGCCGGAGGAUACUCCCAGCCUAGGGAGCGGGAGAGGCCGAGGGGAUUCCCGGAGUAGGGGUGGAAUCCUAUAAUCCCGGGAGGACCACCUGUGGCGAAGGCGCUCGGCUGGAACGCGGCCGACGGUGAGGGACGAAGGCCAGGGGAGCAAACCGGAUUAGAUACCCGGGUAGUCCUGGCGGUAAACGAUGCGGACUUUGUGUCGGACAAGCUAUGAGCUUGUCCGGUGCCGGAGGGAAACCGUUAAGUCCGCCGCCUGGGGAGUACGGCCGCAAGGCUGAAACUUAAAGGAAUUGGCGGG